rnacentral:rRNA from 1 species
AGGACGAACGCUGGCGGCGUGCCUAAUACAUGCAAGUCUAAGGGGUUCAUCGCCUUCGGGAGGUGGAUCACUGGCGCACGGGUGAGUAACACGUAAGUCAUCUGCCCCCGGGUCUGGCAUAACCCGCCGAAAGGCGGACUAAUUCCAGAUGACAUGGCAACAUCAAAGCCGCUUCGGCGGUGCCCAGGGAUGAGCUUGCGUCUGAUUAGCUAGUUGGCAGGGUAAUGGCCUACCAAGGCGACGAUCAGUAGCCGGUCUGAGAGGAUGAUCGGCCACAUUGGGACUGAGACACGGCCCAGACUCCUACGGGAGGCAGCAGUAAGGAAUAUUGCGCAAUGGAACGAAAGUCUGACGCAG